rnacentral:snoRNA from 1 species
UUGGGAAUUUAUCUCCGUCGCUGUGCCAUUUUUUAUAGACAGUGAAGGUAAACGACUCCCAUAUAUCGGAUUUCUAUUUAGCUAUAGAUUAGGUCAAUCUGCAGAAGGGCCUAUUGAGUUUUCAUUAACACUUUUGAUUUGAUAGGUCCUUUUGAUGAUUGUGCACAUAC